AUGGCUACUUGGCUCUCAGACCUUGACAUUGCCAUUGCCGUCGUUGUGGUCGAUCUGCUCGUCGAUGUUCCUGACGGGUCCCGUGAACCACUUCCUGGCGUCGACGACCCACCAGAGCAUGAUCAAACCCAGGACGACGCCGAGCGCGAUGGGCGCGUAGUUGAAGGUGUCCAUCUUGAUGGGGUACACGGUGGGAAGCAGGAAGACGGAGCAGGUGUAGCAGAUCCACAGGAACGCCACGAGGCAGACGGGCCGGCUGGCUCCCCGGAGGUAGAAGGGGCCGGGGCGGAAGUCCUCCUCCCGCAUCACCAUCCGGGCGAAGAUGGGCACCGCGUAGCCCCCCACCCAGCCGAUGGUGGCGAUGGAGGUGAUGGCCGUGAACACCACGUUGAUCCACAGGAUGGGCAGGCCCAGCAGCGCGCACACGGCGGCGCACAGCCACACGGCGUUCCCGGGCACCUUGCGCGUGGGGUGGAUCUUGCGCCACACGCUGGAGAAGGGGACGCCGCGGUCGCGCGACAGCGCGUACACCACCCGGGCGGCGCUGGUGGUGAUGGAGAGGCCGCCGAAGAAGAAGGAGCCCCAGAUGAUGAAGAGCAGCACGAUGGCGCCCGUGGAGCUGCCGUACCGGCCGUGGAACGCGUCGUAGAGUAUCUGCGCCGGGACGAAGGUGCCGGCUGUCUCGUUGGUGGGGUCGUACAGGUAGCUGAAGUCCUGGAUGCUGAAGGUGAGGGCGAGGAUGUAGACCCAGCCGAAGACGGUGAUGAUGCCGAUGCUGGAGAGGAUGGCGAUGGGGCCGUUCUUGUCGGCGCCCUUGGUCUCCUCCGUCAGGUGCGCCGCCGCGUCGUACCCGUACAGGGAGUACUGGCUCACCAGGAGGGACAGGACCACCGCGUAGGCGCCGCUGCUGAUCCCGGUCACCUCCGGCGUCGUCUCGAAGUGCGUGAACACGUACGACGCCGGCUGCGUCGUCUUCGCCACCAGCGGCAGCAUGAUCACUAUGACCGUGCCGCCGACCACCUGCACAGCAUGGAGAUGACGUCGAGGAAUGCGAUGACUUCCAAGGCGAAAGUGUUGAACACGGCCCAGAUGAAGGUUAACCCAAGGUACAUGACGAGGAACAGCCAGCGAGGGGCCAGGUAG
rnacentral:rRNA from 1 species